UAGACUCACAAUGAAUCAGCAAGACAAAGCCAAUAAUGAUAACAAAGCCGGCCAGUGUAAUCCAAACAAUCCCAAGUAUGAGGGUUAUUGUGGAAAGUAUGGUGGCGAUGGUACCCAAGCUGAUCGGGACAACCACGGCGACCAAUUAAAUCCAAAUAACCCCGAAUACAAGGGACCGAAAAAAUAAUCAACUGAGUUGAUUAAAUUAAAAAGUUUUAGUGUCCAUAAUAUUAUAUUGAUGAACAUAUAUUGAAUUGUAUAGUUAAAUUGUAUAAUAAACACUAAAACAUAA